AUACGGAGGGGGUUAGCGUUGUUCGGAAUUACUGGGCGUAAAGCGCACGUAGGCGGAUUGGAAAGUUGGGGGUGAAAUCCCAGGGCUCAACCCUGGAACUGCCUCCAAAACUAACAGUCUUGAGUUCGAGAGAGGUGAGUGGAAUUCCAAGUGUAGAGGUGAAAUUCGUAGAUAUUUGGAGGAACACCAGUGGCGAAGGCGGCUCACUGGCUCGAUACUGACGCUGAGGUGCGAAAGCGUGGGGAGCAAACAGGAUUAGAUACCCUAGUAGUCC
rnacentral:rRNA from 1 species